GCUGGCGGCAGGCCUAACACAUGCAAGUCGAGCGGUAGCACAGAGAGCUUGCUCUCGGGUGACGAGCGGCGGACGGGUGAGUAAUGUCUGGGAAACUGCCUGAUGGAGGGGGAUAACUACUGGAAACGGUAGCUAAUACCGCAUAACGUCGCAAGACCAAAGUGGGGGACCUUCGGGCCUCAUGCCAUCAGAUGUGCCCAGAUGGGAUUAGCUAGUAGGUGGGGUAACGGCUCACCUAGGCGACGAUCCCUAGCUGGUCUGAGAGGAUGACCAGCCACACUGGAACUGAGACACGGUCCAGACUCCUACGGGAGGCAGCAGUGGGGAAUAUUGCACAAUGGGCGCAAGCCUGAUGCAGCCAUGCCGCGUGUGUGAAGAAGGCCUUCGGGUUGUAAAGCACUUUCAGCGGGGAGGAAGGCGGUAAGGUUAAUAACCUUGUCGAUUGACGUUACCCGCAGAAGAAGCACCGGCUAACUCCGUGCCAGCAGCCGCGGUAAUACGGAGGGUGCAAGCGUUAAUCGGAAUUACUGGGCGUAAAGCGCACGCAGGCGGUCUGUCAAGUCGGAUGUGAAAUCCCCGGGCUCAACCUGGGAACUGCAUUCGAAACUGGCAGGCUAGAGUCUUGUAGAGGGGGGUAGAAUUCCAGGUGUAGCGGUGAAAUGCGUAGAGAUCUGGAGGAAUACCGGUGGCGAAGGCGGCCCCCUGGACAAAGACUGACGCUCAGGUGCGAAAGCGUGGGGAGCAAACAGGAUUAGAUACCCUGGUAGUCCACGCCGUAAACGAUGUCGAUUUGGAGGUUGUGCCCUUGAGGCGUGGCUUCCGGAGCUAACGCGUUAAAUCGACCGCCUGGGGAGUA
rnacentral:rRNA from 1 species